UGCCGCAGGAGUCAGAAACCACGGCACAGGGCUGCUGACCAGCAUCUCCACCAAUGCCCGAAAGGUAGUUAUCCCCAGAGACACCACAAGGAACAUUUGACAUAACCCCCCACUGCCCCCCAGUGGUGUCGUGGAAAUAACGAAUCUUGCAACCAGCAUCAAUAUCGGAAGCCGGAACCCAAGAACGUUCGGCAGGCCCAUUGCCCUCCAAUCAACCAAAUACUGUAAGGAAUUACGACAAAACC